CCUUCGCGUGCUUCGCGUCCCUUGCUAUUCAUAUGAUAAUUCUUAACUAGGGACUAGGGGGGAGGAGCCUUAACUAGGGGAGAGGUACUAUUCAUUUUCAAUCAAACGAGCAAAAGAUAAGUACAACUGGAGAUGAAACGCAUAAUUGCGGAGCAGAAAAAGCUGGAACUGUUUCAGCUCAUCCGUGAUGAACGCAAGACGCUUUAUGGAGAGUUUAAGGGCCCCAACGCCCGCUCGCGUAGGCUUCAAGAAUGGGGUCGCAUACGCGAGCGGGCCAUUCAACUUGGCCUGAUAAAUGACGCAACAUCGACGCGAAGCAUGUUGCAGGGUGUCAUAAAAAACACCCAAGACCGGACAAAAAAAAAAUUCCAGCAGAAGAACCAGUCGGGUCCAGGUGCAGUGGUCUGGACCGAGCUCGACGACACCGUCAUGGAUUGCUUGGG